AGCAACAGUAAUAGUUUAACAUUCUUUAAAAUGGGACUAAACCGUGUUUUAAGUUGCUUUGCUUUAACAAUGUUCAUUCAAUAUUCCUGCAGUCAGGAACUUAUCCAGUCUGAUUCAGUGAUCAUCAAACCUGGUCAGUCUCAUACACUGACCUGCACAGCUUCUGGACUUACCUUUGAUAAGUACAUGUCUUGGAUCCGACAGGCUCCUGGAAAAGGACUGGAAUGGGUUGCAACUAUAUCAGAUCUCAGUUAUAGCAAAUAUUACUCCAGUGCAGUUAACGGUCGUUUCACCAUCUCCAGAGACAAUGCUAAGAUGCAGGUGUAUCUGACUAUGGGCAGCUUGAAGAUGGAAGACACUGCAGUGUAUUAUUGUGCUAGACAUGACACACACAAUGACACAUGA